CAGUCGAGCGAGCGGAACCACAGAUUUACUUCGGUAAUGACGUUGGGAAAGCGAGCGGCGGAUGGGUGAGUAACACGUGGGGAACCUGCCCCUAAGUCUGGGAUACCAUUUGGAAACAGGUGCUAAUACCGGAUAAUAAAGCAGAUCGCAUGAUCAGCUUUUGAAAGGCGGCGUAAGCUGUCGCUAAGGGAUGGCCCCGCGGUGCAUUAGCUAGUUGGUAAGGUAACGGCUUACCAAGGCGACGAUGCAUAGCCGAGUUGAGAGACUGAUCGGCCACAUUGGGACUGAGACACGGCCCAAACUCCUACGGGAGGCAGCAGUAGGGAAUCUUCCACAAUGGACGCAAGUCUGAUGGAGCAACGCCGCGUGAGUGAAGAAGGUUUUCGGAUCGUAAAGCUCUGUUGUUGGUGAAGAAGGAUAGAGGUAGUAACUGGCCUUUAUUUGACGGUAAUCAACCAGAAAGUCACGGCUAACUACGUGCCAGCAGCCGCGGUAAUACGUAGGUGGCAAGCGUUGUCCGGAUUUAUUGGGCGUAAAGCGAGCGCAGGCGGAAAAAUAAGUCUAAUGUGAAAGCCCUCGGCUUAACCGAGGAACUGCAUCGGAAACUGUUUUUCUUGAGUGCAGAAGAGGAGAGUGGAACUCCAUGUGUAGCGGUGGAAUGCGUAGAUAUAUGGAAGAACACCAGUGGCGAAGGCGGCUCUCUGGUCUGCAACUGACGCUGAGGCUCGAAAGCAUGGGUAGCGAACAGGAUUAGAUACCCUGGUAGUC
rnacentral:rRNA from 1 species